GACGAACGCUGGCGGCGUGCUUAACACAUGCAAGUCGAACGGAAAGGCCCUGCUUUUGUGGGGUGCUCGAGUGGCGAACGGGUGAGUAACACGUGAGUAACCUGCCCUUGACUUUGGGAUAACUUCAGGAAACUGGGGCUAAUACCGGAUAGGAGCUCCUGCUGCAUGGUGGGGGUUGGAAAGUUUCGGCGGUUGGGGAUGGACUCGCGGCUUAUCAGCUUGUUGGUGGGGUAGUGGCUUACCAAGGCUUUGACGGGUAGCCGGCCUGAGAGGGUGACCGGCCACAUUGGGACUGAGAUACGGCCCAGACUCCUACGGGAGGCAGCAGUGGGGAAUAUUGCACAAUGGGCGGAAGCCUGAUGCAGCAACGCCGCGUGCGGGAUGACGGCCUUCGGGUUGUAAACCGCUUUCGCCUGUGACGAAGCGUGAGUGACGGUAAUGAGUAAAGAAGCACCGGCUCACUACGUGC
rnacentral:rRNA from 1 species